GUGGACAUGAAGAUAGGAGGAAAAAAUCAAAAAAUGGUAAUCAAUCAGAUUCCAAUGAGGAUAUAUUAUAAAAUUACAGAAUACAGUUAUGUACAGAGAGAGAGGGGGAAGGUACGAGAAAAAGAAAAUACAAGCUGGUGGGGUCAGAAAUCCAUGGAGAUCGCGAAUUGGCGUGCAGUGGUGCGGAUUUUACGGUGGUUGGCGGUGGAAGUGGCGGAUUUACGGUGGUGAGCUAUAUAUGUGCCUUA
rnacentral:misc_RNA from 1 species